rnacentral:lncRNA from 1 species
UGAGGUUUAAUGUUUUCAUUUUAUAGUUUCAUGUGCAUAUUUUACUGUUUUAUUAAUUAUGGAUUGAAUGACCGGGAUAUUGAUGCUGUAUGUUGUCUGUUUGGCAUAAAUUAUUAUUUUGCGUGUUUGUGUGUGAUUGAUAAUGCUGACUGAGGGAAAAAGGAGAAUGAAAGAUUAUGUGAAUGGAAAUUGUAUAUUGUGUUCAGCCUGACUAGAUAUCCUGAGAGAUGGUGGACGGACCGGGUCCGUAGGGAACCCUACCGGGAUUGUGGUC